rnacentral:misc_RNA from 1 species
UUUCCGUAGGUGAACCUGCGGAAGGAUCAUUAAAAAUGAAGCCGGGAAACCGGUCCUUCUAACCCUUGAUUAUCUUAAUUUGUUGCUUUGGUGGGCCGCGCAAGCACCGGCUUCGGCUGGAUCGUGCCCGCCAGAGGACACAACUCUGUAUCAAAUGUCGCCUGAGUACUAUAAAAUAGUUAAAACUCUCAACAACGGAUCUCUUGGUUCUG